GUGGUGAGAUCGUAACAAGGGCGUGGUGAUCUUGAACCUGCUUACGUCACGAGUCAUUUUUUAGACCCACCAUCCAAUAGGAAAAUUCAACUGCAGUACCCACCGUUUAACCUGAAGAGGGCAGCACUCAGACGUUUUUACACCAUAUAUUGUACACUGUUAGAUGUCGCUGUAGAUUUAGCAGUACUUUACUGUAAAAAUCCACAGUACUAUACUGUAUGUGUACAUUACAGUACAGUACUGCAGUUCAUAAUGCAUUCUGGGUAAAUUUGUUUGAGCGGGAAAAUUUUACAGUAUAUUUUGGUCUUGAUGUAACCUUGCUGUAGCCAUUGCUGUAAUGUGCCAGGUGUACUUGCAAUAAUCAGAGAAAGUGCGCCAGAGUCAAAUCACACAGAGGGAGAGAGAGCACAACUCCUGGCUGCAGCUGAAGGAGGACGAUUGAUUUCUGGCAGUUCGUCUUACCAUUGCUUGUAAGCUGGAUUGGGUAAGAUGGAUCAUCUUUAAAGGCACCAGGAGUUAAGGCAGAUGUGGAGGCACAACGGGUGAUACCAGACACACACCAAGCACAUUAUGUUCGGACAUUCAAUCAUGACAGGAUCCAGGUGGAUGCUGUCCAUUGAGAAAAGAGUUUGUUCAGCGGUUUCUGGAUAGAAUUAAUUCCAAAGAUGGGAAAAAGUGCACAUCCAGACAAG